rnacentral:rRNA from 1 species
UACGUAGGUGGCGAGCGUUGUCCGGAUUUACUGGGCGUAAAGGGAGCGUAGGCGGACUUUUAAGUGAGAUGUGAAAUACUCGGGCUCAGCUUAAGUGCUGCAUUUCAAACUGGAAGUCUAGAGUGCAGGAGAGGAGAAUGGAAUUCCUAGUGUAGCGGUGAAAUGCGUAGAGAUUAGGAAGAACACCAGUGGCGAAGGCGAUUCUCUGGACUGUAACUGACGCUGAGGCUCGAAAGCGUGGGGAGCAAACAGG